CUAACAUCACCUUUGUCGUCUAACCUAAACAGCUGAUUCGGAUUAUUAUCAAUAUCAUUAAGACAAAUUAGAAUUACAUAAUAGCUAUAACUAGACAAUAUAAUGUUAAUACCUAUUAUUACAGCUCCAUUUUAAUUUAUGUUUUUUUACCUACAUCAUGGUUAAUAGCAUACGGCGCCCAAGUAUCAAGACGAGUUUAACCAUCUGGUUCGUGUUUAACAUGAGGAAUAGUUAUUAGUAUUUUAUGUACAACGUCUGAUUGCGAUUUUUCUCGUUUUAGCCUCGAUCUUCCUCCUUCUGCGGCGGCUGUCGAAGUUGGCCGGAAGAUUCCUCAUGCUGUCGGACGAGGACGACGUCUGACGAUGGAAAUAUUUGAACGUCUUGCGAAUGCCGCAACGGCAACUGCUCAAAGCAUUCUCACGCCUACGAAACAACAACAGAUAUAUGAAUGAAGCAUAUCAUCGAACAGCGGAAGUACAAGAUGAAGUGACUGUGAGAAAAGGAUCAAAGAUUUGAUUUGCGUCUAUAAAUGAAAAGGAUGCCAUAAAUAGGGACGCCUUAAAAAUAUGAAGGGACGCGGGACAAUUCCGUUUGUAAAAAAAAACCAUUUCUAGUGUAUGUUGAAUAAUUUUAAUGAAUAUAUAAUAAUAUUCUAAGUA